rnacentral:rRNA from 1 species
CCUGGCGGCAGUAGCGCGGUGGUCCCACCUGACCCCAUGCCGAACUCAGAAGUGAAACGCCGUAGCGCCGAUGGUAGUGUGGGGUCU